UUGAUACUGAACUGAAUGCGAUGAUGGUGCACUGAAUGUAAAACCAAGACUUUAUUUAUUUUAUUUUAUUUUAUUUUAUUUUAGAGCAGUAGGGAAUCCGUGAAGGCGGUUCCUCUUUGCUGACGUAGAAAUGUCACCACCGGAAGAAGGUUACAUGCACGGUAUUCAAGAUGGCGGCCCCCUUAUGUCAGUGUUACCAGAUAUGUCUAAGAAGAGGUUUGGUUGCCUCCCCUUCGUGUUACCUGCUGCUACCGAACAGAACCCAUGUUUACAGGAUAUGCGGGCUCCCAUCAAGAUCUUCACAGCCUCCUCUUCUUCAGGUGCGGUAUAUGUCAGGAGACAAAGGCAGAGGGAGAAAAGGUUUCUUGGGGGAGUUUUUGGAUAACCUCAAGCAGGAACUGAACAAAAACAAAGAAAUGAAAGAAAACAUCAAGAAGUUUCGGGAAGAGGCCAAAAAACUUGAAGAGUCAGAUGCACUGAAACAAGCUCGGAGGAAAUAUAAAACCAUAGAAUCAGAAACGGCGAAGACCUCGGAGGUUCUGAAGAAGAAGUUGGGAACCAUUUCUGAGACCGUUAAAGAGGGGCUGGAAGAGGUCAGUCGUUCAGAAAUUGGUAAGAAAAUCAAGGAGGGAAUGGAAGAAGCAGCAAAAACAGCAAAGACUUCUGCAGAAACGGUCUCCAAGAGCGGAGAGAUGCUGGGGAAGACGGGUGCGUUCAGAGCAAUAUCUCAGAGCGUAGAGAGUGUGAAGAAGGAGAUCGGUGACCUUGGCCAAACGGGACCUUACCGACCUCCAGCCCGACUCCGAAAGAGGACAGAGUUCUCGUCCAAAGGACCGGGGGAAGACGGAAAGGUCUUCGAAGCCAACGAGGAAGCAAUGGGUGUGGUGUUGCACAAAGACUCAAAAUGGUACCAGCAAUGGAAAGACUUCAAGGACAACAAUGUGGUCUUUAAUAGGUUCUUUGAGAUGAAAAUGAAGUACGACGAGAGUGACAACGUCAUCAUCAGAGCUUCCCGUGCCGUCACUGACAAGAUGACAGACAUCAUAGGUGGUCUGUUUUCAAAGACAGAAAUGUCAGAGGUUUUAACUGAGAUCUUGAAGGUGGAUCCAUCUUUUGACAAGGAUUCUUUCCUGAAGCAAUGUGAACAAGAUAUCAUCCCAAAUAUUCUCGAGGCGAUGAUCAGAGGGGAGCUGGAGGUACUGAAGGACUGGUGUUAUGAAGCGACAUACAGCCAGCUUGCUCAUCCUAUUCAGCAAGCCAAAGCUAUGGGACUUCAGUUCCACUCUAAGAUUCUGGACAUAGACAAUAUAGACCUGGUCAUGGGAAAGAUGAUGGAGCAGGGUCCAGUGCUGAUUAUAACUUUCCAGGCUCAGUUGGUGAUGGUGAUUCAAAACACUAAAGGAGAGGUGGUGGAGGGAGACCCUGACAAAGUGCUCAGGAUGAUGUACGUGUGGGCUCUGUGUCGAGACCAGGAAGAGCUAAAUCCAUAUGCUGCCUGGAGACUACUGGACAUCUCCGCCUCGAGUACUGAGCAGAUCCUCUAGGAUUCCUUGAUAUGCACAAAACGCACCAACCCAGGAACAGAACACGCUGCACCCGAACAGGUCCAGGAGCAGAAUGGAGAGAUGAGACAGAGGGGAAGACCUAUAGGAAUCAGCCGAUAUGGCAUGGGCAUUUCAGCACAAAAACACUGUGGCGAAGUGUUACUAACCACUAACGGUAGACUGGAGCCGUGCCUGAACCAGUGAAUUUCAUCCUGCACCCUUCACACCAACAGGACUGCAUUCACCCAUCUAUCUCCACAAAAGGCCAGUCAGGUGUCCUGAACGAUGCAGGGGCAGCCUGUGGCUCCCUAAAUGGCGCGCCACAGAGUUGGUGUUCACUUUGGAGUGACGGAUCGUCCCGCCCAGCCUGGCGGAAUAAAUGGAGGCAUUAGCAGCUCUACCACUGGCCCACGCUGCUGCCGAGGCUUACUGGUCUGUGAGCUGUGCAGCACGGCAGCUUCCUGGGCGCAGCCAAAGCGUGAUGAACGGCUUAUAUUCCUCCAUAAACCAUAUUAAAGUCGGAUCACAUGAUGAAUACCAGGUGGAGGACUGGAGGGAAGGAAAAGAUGGAGGCAGGAGGACGGAAGUUCAGAAAGUAGGAGAGUGAGCUUAUGAUAAAAUAUGGAAAAGAGAGGAAAUUAAAUCCAAGACAAAAAUAUCAAAGCUGCUCCCCUUCUUGCUCCUCUGCAUCCCCCAUUUUCUGGUGACUGAUGAAAAAAGAGGAGGCACUUCUGAAUUUUUAAUGAAUCCCCUUUGGGCCUCAAUUUAUCGUCUGGUCUUUGUGUGGCCUGCAGUCUGGGCAAAGAGGUUCCUGUGCAUUUGCUUCACUUCACCCAGCUCAGGUGUUCUCCCAAAGGCAGCCUUCACUUUUUGCCAUGAUCUGUCCAUCCCUGAGUGACAAUCUGUCAUAACACAUGCUGUGUUUGCUCUGAAAAGUCUACUGGAAACUCUAAGAGGGUUCAAGCUACUAGCAGAACACAAAAAUGUACUCCACUUGUGUUUAAGUGUCUAAAGUUAUUUGUUUGGAGAAUCAGGAAGAACAAAUCCAACUGAGUCCAAAAAAAGUAACUGCAUCUUGUUUCAUUUCUUAUGUUCUGACUUUUCACUGGGUGUGAAAACUAUUUAAAUCUAACCACAACAGUAUUAACCUACACACCAAUAAUAAUAAUAAUAAUAAUAAUAAUAAUAAUAAUAAUAAUAAUAAUAAUAGAUACAGUAGUAAUAAUAGUAAUUAUAAUUGUCAGUAUUUACUAAGCAUUGAGGAAACGUAAAUAGAACAAUUUUAGAAAUCCUAAAAACUCAAGUAUAUACAGAAUACAUAAGACCCUCAAAGUAAAAUGGUGUGUAUGCUGAUUUAUUUUUCCCUGGUGACUUUAUGAAAAAACUUGUGUUUUUCUCAUACACCUUUUUUUAAACUCCACAGUUCUCAGCUGAAGAUGCAUUUUCAGUACCAGCACAAAUUUGCUGCACAGGAAAAAUAUUCUUUACAAGA